rnacentral:rRNA from 1 species
UACGUAGGGUGCAAGCGUUAAUCGGAAUUACUGGGCGUAAAGCGUGCGCAGGCGGUUAUGUAAGACAGGUGUGAAGUCCCCGGGCUUAACCUGGGAACUGCAUUUGUGACUGCAUAGCUAGAGUACGGUAGAGGGGGAUGGAAUUCCGCGUGUAGCAGUGAAAUGCGUAGAUAUGCGGAGGAACACCGAUGGCGAAGGCAAUCCCCUGGACCUGUACUGACGCUCAUGCACGAAAGCGUGGGGAGCAAACAGG